rnacentral:lncRNA from 1 species
AAAAACUGAAAAAGACCCAUAGACGGUGACAUCUGGGGAUUCCCCUAAUACAAUAGCGGGUUCUGGCUGAUCAUCCCACAGGGAAGCCACUCAGCAGCCACACAGUUCCCCUUACGCACACACCCCUAGUAAUCAGCUCUGUUAGUGUAUAAACAUUAAAAUAUGUGCAGACAAUAUCACAAGUCAUACGGGAAAUGGAAAGCAAGACCACAGUGAGGUACAGCUUCAUACCCAUUAAAAUGGCUAUUAUAAUGCAAACAAAAAAAGAUGGAAAAUAACCAUCUGGUACGCAGAUUAUGUUACCUCUGGUCAUAUGCACUAAAGAAGAGGGAGAGAACUCAAGGCCUCAGAACAAGAGAGAAGUCCAGGCCAGGCUCUGGGCAGUAACUAGUCAUGUGGACUCUGAACAAUUACCUCAUCCUUCAUGGCCUCAAUUUCCACAUCUGUGAAAUAAAGGGUCUGGCCAGGAGACACAUAACAGCAUUCUACAUGUAACUGAAGAAAUAGUGCCAUGGAUAGGUGAGGGAGGGUAAUUAAUGGAAUUGCCUCUAGAGGGCAAAUAAGUAACAGAAUUGCCCCCAGUUUCUCCACGGCUUUCUAAAGAGGGGUAAAGACUUGCUGGAUGCCAGAUGUCUUCCAGGGAUCCCAGAGAAUUGGUCUAGGGAGGCAGUGCUUUACUGUAUUAUAGAAGAGGAAUUAAUCACACUAAUUGCUUACUCUGUACUUUUGCUUAACGAUACAAUAUAAACAAAUACAAUGAGAAAUAAUUUUAAAGCAAUCAAAGCGCCUUCAAGUUAUUAAAGCUCCUGAAGAAUCAAACAUUACAUCCAUAUAUAGAAUUAUUAUACGAGGCACAAUUAAUGAUUUGAUUUAUAGAUAUUUUUAUAUAGGUUUGAUAUGCAACAAGUCUAGGGGUAAAAAAUCAAUAAAAUCUGCCUUCUAAUAAGCAGGGGUUUCUGCCUUUUUCUUAAAAAAUAAACUAUUAUAUCAAAAUGGUAAAAAUGAACAUUUUAAAAUAAAAAUUAUCAACAUAUAUUAUCAUUCUGCCUACUGAAUUUUAAUUUAUCCUCAAAGUUCAAAAAAAAAAAACUUCUUUCUCAUGCAGUUUCCCCAUAUCCCUAAUUAGGAUGAAUUAUUGAAGCAUCCUGGGUGAUUCCUGAACACUUUCGAUCCUUCAGUUAUUCAGGUCCAGUUUAAUGGCACCUGAGAACAAUUAUAUACCGAGAACUGUGCUAAACUGACAAAGGCGACCAAAGAGCUUAUACAGGGACAUACCUGUACCCUCACAUCAGCUCCCAAGUCUCCAGAGGGAAACGGAGAGGACAUGAUGAAUCAGCUCUCUUUUUACUGUAUUAUGCUUGGAAAGAUUGUUAUGGAGACACAGAAGACAGAUAAAUCAACCUUGCCUGGAAAACUGGAAAAAGGUUCAAACAGGAGGCAAAUUUAGACCAAUAUGUAUCAAGAACUCGUUGAUUCUUACAGGAGGAGGAUAUUACCAGACAGACAAGUGAAAUGACAAAGCCAUUCUAGAAAUAGAAAAGGUAAGGAAAAGAAUCAAGAAGUGGAAGUUAAAGGCCAGCUCUGGGUGCUUUGUGACCAGAGCCCAGUUGGCAGUGGGAAGAUUUAUGUUCUAUACUAAGGACGUUCUCUGUAAUGACAAUCCACCCUGUUGCACUAAUAAUUUAAGAGCAUUUAUAUGAAUAUAUACAAUUCAGGGAAAGAUAAAGAGAAAAAAUUGCUAUCAACUCUGUGCAGAUUUGGAAACUGGUAUCAAAGGAACAGUUUCAGCUGCAUUUCUUUGUCUAGAAAGUUUCAUUUAAAAAUGUAGUCUACUAACUUGAGCCUCAAUUUUUGGCAAUAAACUAAAAAACGCUACACAAACCAUCACAGAAUUCACUUUGUCCUUGCAGGAAAGAAAAAAGAAGAAAACAAACCUCCAUGUGAGAGGGGGUCUAAAAGAACUCUCCAAACCUCCAUGAUUUUGCAAGAGACAAGACAAGGGUAAUUACCUGCAGCACCUGGACCCAUCUAGAUUAACUAAAUUUAAUGAGGCUCCAGAGGAAGGUCUUCAAGACUCAGACCUUAGUUAUGAUUAGAAAUUAAUCACCUGUGUCUUCAGAUAGCCCCCGUUCCAUGUUUAGAGAGAGAUCUUUGAGCACCCAUCUUCAUUCAUUUGAGAACAGGGUCACUGAGAGGGAGUCUCUGAGGUCACAGAGUGUAUUAGUUCACUUUCACACUGCCGUGAAGAAACACCCAAGACUGGGUGAUUUAUAAAGGAAAGAAGUUUAAUUGAGUCACAGUUCCACAUGGCUGGGGAGGCCUCAGGAAAUUUACAAUCACGGUGGAAGGGGAAGCAAACAUGUCCUUCUUCAUGUGGCAGCAGGAGAGAGAAGUGCAAAACGAAGAGGGGAAAGGUCACUUAUAAAACCAUCAGAUCUCGUGAGAACUCAUUCACUUUCACGAGACGAGCACGUGGGAACCACUCCCAUGAAGUAAUCACCUCCCAUGAGGUCUCUCCCCCAAAACGAGGGGAUUACAAUUCAAAAUGACAUUUGGGUGCAGACACAGAGCCAGACCAUAUUACAGAGCCAGAAGAGCUGAGCAGUGGGCACUUAGUAAAUGUUCAUUAAACGAAACCCCUAAACAAGGCUGGCUUCAUAGAGGUGCCACCUGUGCAAUGGCAAAAGCCCCACAUUCAGAGGGGACCUGAACUUGGUUUAAUGCUAUGUUGUCACUGCCUUCAAAUUCUUAACAUUUUUUGAACAAAUGACUCCAUUUUCAGUUCACACCGGGUCCUGCAAAUUAUGUACCCAGUCCUGCCCCUGAAACAAAGAUAUGGUUUGUUCAUGAAGGGGCUCCCUCGACCCUUCCCUGUGCAUCUCACUCCAAGAUGCCCUAAGUAAAAGGGAACAAAGAGCUAGGAGAAGGUAGUAGUUGAUGAUGAUCUUGGAGGUCCCACCUGAUCAUGGCUGGCGAUGCAUAUGUGUGGGUGGGAGAAUUUGGUUGCUCUCUCCUGGCAGCCUCCAUCCCAUGCAGAAGGCCUGCACUUUGCCUGUCUGUCCCCCUAUGUCCUCUACCUGACUCAGGAGUGUGGAUGGGGGAGGGGAGGCAUUGGGCCCAGUGCUCCUGGUCCCAGCUGGAGUUCUCUGUUGAUCUGGGAGAUUUGGCUCCUCUGACUACUCCUACCCCAUCGCCAUUAGGACAGGAGUUGGUGAAGGGGACAGGGUGGGAGGCUUAAUUAGCAGCCAGGGCCAGGCAGCAGGCAGUGGGGCAAAGAUCAGGCUGACUUUUCCUGCUACAGAUCUGCUCUCUGGAAGAGGCAUUCAUGGACUGGCUUAAGCUGUGGCUUGGCUAUUUUAGGAAUAUUCUUAACCCUUCCUGAGUCACUGCUGUCAUCAGACUUCUCUCCCAGGGCGCAGAGCACCAGACUGUUCCCUCUCCCUGUCCCCUUCUCCCCAGUCCCUGCUUUCCUCCCUGGCAGCUGAGAAGGUCAGAGUUUUCUCAGGGGUGGGGCAAGUUGACUUCUGCCAAGGAAAACUCCCGGGUCCCUGAGUCCCCUUCUUUGUCCUGCCCUGUGACUUUUCCCUCUUCAUCACAGCUCUGGACUCAGCCAAGUGGCACAAUGGGCAUCACCUCAGCCCUUCUCAUCUUAUAAAAUUGGAACCUCAGACUCUCUCAUCUGAAAACAGCUGAUUUGUAUCCCAAGAGUAAGAUGGGAAGCUGUAGUCCUGACUUCAAACCUCUGGCAGAGCAGGAGCCCCUGCGUGCCUGGCUUUGAUGCCCCAUUAGGGGCAAGUUUCCACAGCCAGAACCCCUCAUGGGGUUCCCUCUGCCUGUUUUUUCCUCCACUCCAGGUCCUUCCCAGAGUCUGGCUUCUUGGAAAAGCCCAGGCCAGGAUAUAGGCAUUACCUAUGUAAGGCCAAGGGGAGUCCCACUGCCGGCCAGAAGGGCUCAACAUCAAUAUAUCUGAAAUUCAAGCCAUACAGGGGGAAGAGAUAUUGGCUCAGUGUCAAGGGUUUCUGUGUCCACGCUAGGCUUGCCUGAGCUGGGAGGCCCAGGACAUCUGGGCUUUGUGAUGCCUUCUGACACUAGGAGUUGGAGUUUGCCACCAACUGCUAUUGGGAAAGCUUGACUUGGUGAUACAGGCGUAAUGCUGAUGAUGCCACACAAAUGCCCAAGGGCCUAUAGUGUGCCUGACACUGUCCUGGGCAAUGGGUAUAGAGGAUCAAUAAUCAUUCUCUUCCUGAGAAAGGAAGCUCUCCUGGGCUGGUUAACCAGGCAUCUGGCCACAAGCCUGGUCUAGUGUUGAUGGGCUCCAGCAAGUGAGUCAUCCCAACUAAUUCCCCCUCUUCCAGGUUAUCACAACAAGCCCAGCUCCAGAAGUGAAAGAGCUGGCUGCAGAUGGGGGUGAGGCCAGAUGAAAAUGCUUUCGCUCCCCUCAACGGCUGCAGAGGGGGCUCUUGCAAAGGGGGUCAUUGAACUGCAGUUUCUUCUGUCUCCAAUCCAGAAAGAGCCUGAUGGAUUGAUAAAGGUGUCCUGGGAAAGAUUUUCAGUUCAAAGAGACAAUCCCCUCCAGGAACUCCAGAAGAAUUUUGUCUGGCGUUUAAAGAGUAAGAAGCUGCUGGGUGUGGCAGCUCACACCUGUAAUUGUUGUGCUUUGGGAGCUACAGGCAGGAGGAUCACUUGAGGCUAGGAGUUAGAGAACAGCCUGGGCAAUACAGUGAGACGCUCCCCACUACAAAAAAAGCAAGAAUACCCCUCUCUUUACCCCUACUUGAGAGACGUGACUAGAAGGCAGAAAGCUGGCUGUUGACGGGGGAGUCUCUCUCUUCAGGCAGAGGUAGGGCUGCUUCCUGGGACAGAGGCAUAGAUGGUAUUUCUGGCUCUGCAGUUCCUGAUGAAGACAUACUGGGGCACCCAGGCUAACCUUUGGCAAAACUAGGAGCGGAACUCAGGAGUCCCUGAUGCCAGCCUCGCUGAUGCGAUCCCCCCUCCCCUCCCCCAUGUGUCUUGCUCCCUAGCUCCCUCCCCACCAGCUUCCAGGCCAGGACCCCCAGCUGGCUGGUGGAGGAUGUCUUCCUCCUCAGCAGCUAGGAUUUUUAAGUAUUUAUAGGAACAUGGAACAGAUCAGUGGCUGACAGGCCCAAGGAGCGUGCAGGCCCCUUCCCAGAGGUCAGCAGCUUCACUCCCCCUUCCUGCACCCCAUCCUGAUUUGACGGAACCCAGGAUGACAAAGAGGGAGUAGGUGAGCAAGGUAUGGGGUGGCAGCCUCCAUAGGAGCUCAAAGGAUGUAUUUGUCCAUCUGCCCUGGGCUCAGCUUCCACACUCCGAGUCACUCACAUCCCUCCACCCUAGCCGGAGCUCACCUGUGUGCCCACAUGACCAAGACCACACUGACCCCAAAUGUACAGUUUCAACUCUCAACAAUUCACUGUCACACUCACGUGUGUACACACAUGCUUUCUAAAUUCCACAGCCACAUGGAUGCUCACAGGCUCACACCUUUGCACACACACAGGCUCACUCACAGACCUACGGGGGGCCCAGAUCCCGGUCAUUCCCCACAGGUCUUUAUAAGGGUUCUGGGAGGGAAACUUGUUUCCUGUCUAAGGUAGGGUGGGAGUGUGUGUGUGGGGGGGGAACGAGAGUGAAUGUGAGAGUGCAUGUAUGUUAGUGUGGGUGUGUAUGUGUGUAAGGAGCAGGAGUGACUGGGUCCUGAGUUUAGGGAGUGGGGAAGAGAAAGGAGAGAUGGAGACAAGCGUGGACCAAGAGACACUCAGAGCUGACAUCCUGGAAGGGAAGCCAGGCUGAGAUAAGAGCAAGGCAAAGAAAUAGACACCGACAAGGAUCAAGCCAGGGCGGGGUAGGGACUGGGGACAGAUCCCGCCCCCAUGAGAAGCUGUCACAUUGUUGCUCAGGUGGCCUGUGACAGCAGCGCCAUCUCCAGCUGGAGCCUCCCCUCUCUGGAUCUUGUCAUUGUAACUUUGCUUUGCUACUUGGGCAGCCAGGAGUGGUGACAGGCAGGGAAUAUGGUGCCCAGGGCAGUUAGCCAUGCCACUCCAGUCCGGCUGCCAACCCACCUGUCACUGCCCAUCUCAACACCUGUGGGGGUGGGGGUGGGUACAGAUGAAACCGGCGAUCAGCUUGGCUACCCUUGCCUCCUAGUGCCACAGUGGAGGCUAGGGGAGCAACCGGCCUUCCUCCCCAAAAGGUGGUCAGGGUUAACCGCACUUUGCCCAGGUCACUGAAGCCUGCAGCUGAGCUUGGGGAGAAUGGGCCGUCUCUGCUCCCAGGCACCCAGGAACUACUGGAGAGAGACAGGAACCAGCCUAUGAGACAGGGGCUUAAGGAGGAGGUUGGAGAAGACACGCGUUUGGCAUAAACCGGGGGCCCCUCUCUGCGCUCACCGAGCCGGCGGCCUGGGCGGUGCUGAGCCUGCCCCUGGCGGCGUUCGCCUGGGACAGCGCCUGAGCGGUGGCCGAUCCCACCUGGAUGUCCCGGGUCGGCUCCCACCCCACGCCGUCCCCGGCCGCAGUGGGGAGAUGCUCGCGCUGGUCCUUGCCAUACUUGGCUGCUGCCGGGCUCGGGGUCCCGCGUCGUACACGCCCCAUCAGCCCUGGCCACCGCUCCUGAGGGAACGCCCCGGGGAGCCCUUCCGGGCCCCGACGGCUGCGGGCCCCGGAGCCAAGAGAAGAAGCAGGUCCCAGGGCCGACUCCGCAGCAGCAUCUCCAGCUUUGUCCGGGAAGCAGAGGCCGCCGCCGGCCACAGUCGUGGGUGAGAAGAAGGGCGCGAGGCGGCCGGGGCUCCUGCCGGGCACCCCAAGUACGCGCCGGGCUUCUCCAUGACAGCUGCGGCCCGGGCUGCCUGGGGCCUGGGACUCCGGCGCGGUCCGGCCGCGAGAAAGGCAGGCGCUGCCCCAGUGGGGAAGGGGCAAGGCUGCGGCUCCGGCCACCGGGCGGGGGCACAGAAACGACCCCGGCGCCGUCUGAGCGCCCAGCUCCGUUCCUGCCGCGGCCAAAAGACACCCGAGAGCGCCGGCGGCUGGGGGACCACAGGGCCCUGGAACUCACCAGGCGGCCUCGCGGCGCAAAAGCGGGCGGAGCCAGAGAAGGGGCUCGGCUAGGCGGCCACGCUCCCUCCCCGGAGGGCGGCGGGACUCGGAUUUCGCCUCUGGUUUAAAAAUUGUGCCUGCGGAGCCCAGGACGCUGGGAGGAGCGUUCUGCGCUCCUCCGGUCGCGGUCUCCGCACUAAACCGACUUCCAGAGCCGCCUCUGCUCCCUGUAGUGGCGGAGGGGCGGGCACCGAAGUCCCACCAAGUCGCAGGUCCUCAGCCUGGGGCAUGCUUGCUAUGCUCCGGAUGCAGGGGGGUACUCUGCCUCUCUGCUCCCUGGGGGCCAAGGCGUGCGCUGCAGGCUGGAGCUGCGGCUCCGAGGCUUCCAGGAGCCCCGGCCCCGCCGUCGGUGGAGAAACGCUGGGGGCUUCGAGGUCGCGGCUUCCGGAAAUCCGGUUACUGAGCGGAGUUGGGGGUCAGGUUCCAAAGGGAUAGCGCCCCGGGUUGUAAUCACCAUCUGGCCCGCCGCUCCUGCCGCCGCGAGUCUACAGCGGAGCUAUUGGGUGGACCAAGCGGCACCCCUCCAGGCCCAGUUCGCUUCAGAGGCGCGAGACCCGGAAAACAAGGAAGAAGCGAGCUCAGCCUCAAUCCCCGUCCCCACCCCACUUUCGGGGCCGCUGCGCUGGAGAAUUGAAGGGGGCGGACCCCGGAUUAAAGCCGCUCCCUUCCCAGCCUCGCUCCUCUUUCCUUCUGUCCGUGAUGAUUUCUUUAUUGUCAGGCGAGAGCCAGGCUCCCCGCGCUCACGGGACCGGGCGGUUGGGAGCGGGUUCUGGAGCUCACGCCUGGCGUCGGCGGAGGUGACCCCAGCGCCCUCGCCCGUGCAGGGGAAACAGCUGGUUCCCGCCCGGAUGGGGAAACCUGGACUGCGUGGGCUCGGGCGCCUGGCAGGCAUGCGGGGCCUCUAAGGCUUGGCCACUGUCACGGGUCCUGUGGUUGUUGCUUCUCCCCUCGCCACGCCCUUCUCCUGGGACGGAGAUUCAUUCCCUGGCGGGUGUCGGGGACCUGGGCGCAGAUUCAUUCCCUGGCUGUUGUAGAAGCUCCUGGGACAAGCCGUGAAGUCUCCGCAGGAGGCUUCAGAGAUAUACUAGGCGGCUGCUCAGUUCGCCAAGGACUUUUCCAUUGACUCACAAGCGCCGCCUGGAGGAGGAGGCCGCGCUGGACGCGCCGGCGGCGCCUUUGCCUGGGGGAGCGCAGCCCGGAGCUGUGGCGUGGCCGCGCUGGGAGCGGCGUGUCAGAGGCUGGGCCUGGGGACCCGAGGUUGGGCGGGGCGCAGGAGGUGGGCUCAGGGCUCUCCAGAGCACUCCCCUGAGCUGACCCGCAGGACUGCCGGGCCAGUAGGCACGGGGCCCGCGCGGUGACCUGCGGCCUCGAGGCUGGAGCAGCCACUGCAAACGCCGCGCUGGCCCCAAACACUGCGUCCUUGAAAUGUUUUAAUUAAGAAUAAUUAAUAGGGCCGGGAGUGGAGGCUCAAGCCUGAAUCCCCAGCACCUGGCGAGGCCGAGGAGGGAGGAUCCCUUGAGCCCAGAGGUUCAAGACUAGCCUGGGCAACACAGUCAGACUCCAUCCCUACAAAACAAACAAACGAAAAUAAAACAAACGAAACGAAAUGAAAUUAGCCCGGCGUGGUGGCGCGGGCCUGUGGUCCCAGCUCCUCGGGAGGCUGAAGCAGGAAGAUGGCUUGCGACCGCACCACUGCGCUCCAGCCUGGGAGACAGAGCAAGACCCUGUCUCGAAAAAUGUGUAUGUCUGGGUAAAUGUAUAGAUUUUAAAACUAUUUUGAAGGCGGCCUUUUUAACUCUAAACUGACCACUCUGGAGGAGACGCCUGACCCAGAGCGCUUUCCCUAAAGUUCGGUGCCCAAAGUGCACCUUCCCAUGGUUGGGGUCUCUGCCUUUCGCCAAGCCUUGCCUCUUGCAGAGGUGGGCUCCAUAGUGUCUCCCGCUCCGCCCCAACUGGAGAACAGUGUAAAUUGUCGGCCGGGCGCGGGACCUCAUGCCUGUAAUACCAGCACUUUGGGUGGCUGAGGCGGGCAGAUCGCUUGAGGUCAGGAGGUCGACACCAACCUGCCUAAACAUGGUGAAACCCCGUCUCUACUAAAACUACAAAAAUUAGCCGGGCGUGGUGGCGGGCGCCUGUAAUCCCAGCUACUCAGGAGUCUGAGGCAGCAGAAUUGCUUGAAUCCGGGAGGCGGAGGUUGUAGUGAGCCGAGAUCGCGCCACCGCACUCCAGCCUGGGCAACAAGAGUGAGACCGCGUCUUAAAAAAAAAAAAAAAAAAAAAAGAAUUGUCAACCAGAGGGAGCGGCAAUUCAGAAGCACGCUGAAGCCAAGUCCUCAAGACUAGAAAGCAUGAAGCAGGGGAGGCGUUUUGAAAGCUUAAGGACAAAAGACCAUGGGCCUGGAUGGCUGAUUCCGGGAUCGGCAUCGUAAUUUGUUGAGAAGGAGGCCGUGCUGUGCUGCCAGUUAUUAAUGGGUUUAAUCGGUUGAUACACAGCCCUACUGGCCUAACCAGUAGCCCAGGGCCCGAGAGGAUUUGCAGGUCGUGUCAGAAUUUGAUUGAAGUUCCUUCCACUUGGCAUAAGGAGACACCAUCAGCCUGAUUGAGAGGGUCAUGGUGAGAUGGAGCCCGCCAAGGUGGCAGCGCUGAGCUGACCACGCCACGGACCAUAGAGUGGGAGCCUUUCCUGCCCCCUUAACCGCAGCUAACAUCAAAAGCACUGGUAUGGGCUGUCUAACUGGAACCUGAGUUGGUCUUUGUAAUUACGAUUCUUUUGGGUUUAUUUUGCCAGUUCAUUAUCCACCCCCCUGAAAUCAGGCCUCCCAAAUUUAGCAGGUGCUGGGGAGGACCCCAGGGAGUGGCUUGUGGGGGCUAGCUGGUGAAACUACCCUUUCCUUUCUGUUCUAUGAGUGUGAUGGUGUUUGAGAAAUAUGGGGCUAUGGUUCAGGCGCACUUCACAUGUGCAAAGAUGGAGAAAGCACUCACCUGCACAUUUAGGCUCAGAAUAUUGAUUGAAACAUUUUGAAAUAUCAAAAAUAAAAUGUUAUUUUUAAAGUUUCUCUGAGAUUUCGCUUAAGUUUUGGUAGAUAUUCUUAAAUUUUAGUGACCUCAGUUUGGGAAUUCAGUAAGCCAAAUAUUGUAUCCUUAUUAUUAGUUAUAUAGAACUAUGCCUUAGACUUUGUUAGAAACUUCUGCUUCAGCUUGACUGACUCAUUUUCCAUUUCUGGUUGUACAAAAUGAACUGACACUUUAAUGCUGUGGCCACCUUUAAAUAAAGUACAAUGUGACAAAAAAAUACAAAUGUUUUCAGAGAUAAAUGCAUUCUUUGACAUCUGAGGUUACAGCAAAUCUAUUCUUCGCCUGCUUGCUUGUUCAGAGUUGUAAUAUUUGCUUUGGUGUAGAGCUGAAGACACAAAUUGGUAACCAGUGGAAUUAUAUGGCCUCAGACUUAUU